rnacentral:rRNA from 1 species
UACAGAGGGUGCGAGCGUUAAUCGGAUUUACUGGGCGUAAAGGGUGCGUAGGCGGUUAUAUAAGUGGGAUGUGAAAGCCCUGGGCUCAACCUAGGAAGUGCAUACCAUACUGUAUAGCUGGAGUAUAAGAGAGGGUGGUGGAAUUUCCGGUGUAGCGGUGAAAUGCGUAGAGAUCGGAAGGAACGUCAAUGGCGAAGGCAGCCACCUGGCUUAAUACUGACGCUGAGGCACGAAAGCGUGGGGAGCGAACAGG